rnacentral:lncRNA from 1 species
GGGAAGGAUGCAACAGAUGAUUUUGAAGAUGUUGGUCACAGUGAUGAUGCAAGAGAGAUGAUGAAGAAAUACUACGUUGGUGAGAUUGACAGUUCUACCCUUCCUGUUAAGCACAAAUAUACUCCGCCUGUAACUCCACCACCCCCUGGAAACCUUGGUUCUGGAAAUUUAUCUAAGAUAUUGCAAUUCUUGUUACCAUUGUUGAUAUUGGGCGUAGCGCUUGCCUUGCGUUCCUUUUAUCAGAAAGAGUAGAGCGCAAAUAUACUCCGCCUGCAAUGCCAGCACCCGCUGGAAACCAGGGUUCUGGAAAUUUAUCGAAGAUAUUGCAAUUCUUGUUACCAUUGUUGAUAUUGGGCGUAGCGCUUGCCUUGCGUUCCUUUUAUCAGAAAGAGUAGAUCAACUGUCAUAUUUCAAGCUGCAAUGGCGUAUGGAAUACAAUAAAACUUUUUCAUAAACCGCUUGCCAUUUUCAUAUGUUGUGUUUUAGUCUUACGGAUUAGUAUCCUUUAUUCAGCUUAUGUGUAUAUUUUCUACCCUUUGUUGGAUAUUCUACUGGGAUGCUGAGAUAUUAAGACUUUGUUACCUCUGUUGGAUGCACUGCUGGUAAUGCUGUCUAUUAAUGGAUGUUAGAAUAAAAGUUUUAUGACAAAAGUGUUCUUUAUUUUGGUGGAAUAAAUAGGUUCUUACAUAAAUUGGU